rnacentral:lncRNA from 1 species
UGGUAGUCUUCAUCCCCCAUUUUGUUCAAAUUUCACAUUUUAUUUUUAAAGAGAAAGUUCAAAAAAUAUGCCCCAAUUUCAUGGUGGAAACAAUGAGACAACAAAACUAAAACCAAGCAGAAACCUGCAGCUCUGUACACACUGAAGGCUGAGCAGCUGCAUAUUCCAGAGGCCAGGUAGUCGGAUAACUUCCCAUCCUGGCCGUGAGGUCAGGGGCCGUCAGUGGGAGGAGACCUUGGAGAAGCCCCGGUGAGUCUGUGGAGAGGAGAGACUGCAGGGCCUCAAGGCUGGCAGCAGCGAAGGAGAACUUUUAAGUCCUUCUGAUUCACAAAUAUCUUAAAGAUAAUUGCACCAGGUGGUCUAGGUGAAUCCCUGGGCCAUGGCUUGAGCUGAGGGAUCUGCACACCAACCCUAGCCCACUCCUGACCAGUGUCCGUAUUGGGCAGAGAUGAGUCCAGGAACGGGUCUGGGUCUCUCCCAGCCCCUCUGCAGGCAACAGGCAACAGGCAACUUCUGGAGAUAUUAGGAGACAGAUGUUGCAAGUGAAGAAAAGCAUGGGAAAGACUGACUGUUGGCUUGAGAACAGAGGAGUUUGCCAGGGAGGCAGAGAGAGCAAGAGCCAAGAAAGGCACCUGAAAACACCGUGAGGAAAGCGAUAUUGGUGCUGAAGGAAAGGAGAGUGGUGCAGUGAGAAAUCCACCAGGAGACAGCCUUGACCCCCACAGCAUCUCUUUGUAACAUCCAUCAUGAUCCUUACCUUUCAUGGGUAACCUCGAUUUUUAUUUACCAUGAUUUUUCUUCCUGUUUAUAUUAAAAUCAAUAGGAUAAUUGAGGCUGAGGAAUUAGUGUUUUGAACUUACAUUUGUUUUUUCUACACUCAAUGAACAGAUAAUACCUACUCAAUGAGAUUUAUCUCUUAAUGUGAUAUGAAAUCUGAUUUCAUAAAUUAUGAUUUUGCAUCUAAUUUUAACAAAAUCCUUCAGCCUUUGUCACAUGUUAAUUCAGACAUAGGUAAUUUCUAUAUCAUAAAUUAAGUACCUCUGAUUUGUUCCAUGGCAAACUUGUCUAGCUUUGAUUUUGGAAUCUUAACAAUGACCAUGCCCCGUGGGGCAUUAUUUUCCACGUAGAGAAUCUUGGCAGCCGGCUCAGUGCCUUCAUUCCCACACUAGAUCUGGAGAUGUGGAAAUGCAUUCACCUUGCUCGCAGUACAGAGCACAUAGUACUUAUUCAAUAAACAUGAGAUAAAUGAAUAAUCAGUGGCAUCAUCAGGUCAUUCACAGAAGCCAGACAGACAGAGCUUCCCCAGGUCGGGAAGAAGAAGCAUUUCUUCAUAUUUGCAAUGUUUUCAUUUUUAACAUUGUAAUGUGAACAGUGAUUAUACUAUUUUUAUGAAACUUGUCUUCUGAAAGUUUUCAAAAAUCUCCAAAUCUCAGAGUAGGGAAAAUCAACCUCUGUGAACCUGUCACUUGCAUCAGAGAUUGUCAACUCAUAAACCAUCUGGCUUUAUCUUUACACCCACCCCCUGGAAUUAGCCAGCUGUAGAUGCCGAGAGCACAUCAUUUCAGGUGUAAAUAUAUCAGUUUCUCUUACAGAUGAGAGAUUUUUGGGACUCAAACACAACAAAGUUAUCACACACAAAAGUAAAAAUGUCACUCCUAUAAUCAACUACCUAGUCAGCCUCCAAAGUCUCCCAGUUUUCUCCAGGUUGUUUCUUGGUUUUACAUUUUAUUUGAGUCAGGAUCUUAAUGAAACCCUUCGUUUGCAAUUGGUUGAUCUGUUUCUGAAGUCACUUUUCAUCUCUGAAGUUCAUGCAUCUUGGGCUUUGGGUGGGAUAUGCGUGUGUGUGUUUAUGUGUCUACACCAAUAUGUGAAUUAUUUCUUUCCUGGAUGGCUGUGCCCUGUCAGGAAGGGCCUGGGCUGCCGGAAGCGGGAUUUAUACUCGGCUUGUGGCUGAACUGAAAGGGCCUCCCAGGGUGACACUUGCAGCCUUCAGCGAGGAGGAGGAAGAACUACCAAGGAAUUCAUGUGGCCCUUGUCUUACAGUGUUUCAGGGGAUGACGUUCAAAAUGCCAGGUGAUAACCCUGUAGCUCCUGGUCAUGAGGCGGGUUCUCAGGGUGAGCUCAUAUCUUCACUACCCAGAUGGGAAGCGUUUCAGUAUUUGAAUUGGUAAGGUUGUUGUGUGUAGGCCCAUGUUCAUCAGUUUGGUGGCAUUCCCCUGCUAGACCCAUCUCUAUACUGGCACCUCUCAUGCCUUAUCUUUCAAAACUCCCAACAGGAAAGUUUCACAUCCCCAUAACACAUAACCACAUAACCACAGCACAAGACUGGGGAAAAGAACACAGCCAUCCUGGGGGCUAGAAGCUCUAUAGGAUUGAGCCCAGAUGACCCUUUAGGUCAAGCUGGUAACAAUAAGACUGAGCGUGUAAACUAUUGUUUGUCCGAGAGCAUGAACCUCAGAACCACAUGGGACCCUGGGCAGCAAGGGAGAGUGUGGGUCAUGCACUGCCCAGGAUUAAGGUCCGUUAUCCUGGGCAAACCAGAGCUCACGGCUGAUCCAUCAGGCCUGGCUAGGUAGGAAUGGCCACGAUGUUCCUGACAGAGAGGCUGGGGCCUUAGGGAAUUUCUGCCCAAAAAGAAUUGUAGAAGGAAGUGCAGGGAUGCUGGAAAUCUAGUUCACAGGGAGCAGUGACGCUUAUGCAACAAAGCCCUGUUGUAGCUUUAAAAGCUGCAUCACAAAUCUUUCCCUCUGGAUAGGAAACAAGCAGGAAAAGGACCUGCAAGUUCAUGGACCAGGAUCCCGGGAGGAGUCCAAUCCAGGUAAAGGGUGAACAGGGAGCCCCUAGAGGCGGCCUGCAGAGGGAUGUCCUGCCUGCCCUUAGUCCGUCUGCAAAUGGUCUUCCUCUGGCCUUGUCCUUUCCACAUGCAAAGAGUUAUCUGUUUACAUUUUUUCCCCAUUUACUGUUAGUGCAAUUCCAGAGAUUCAUUAGAAAACUACACGUUCCAAAACUUGAUCAAAAGAAAGCUCCACAAGAGAAGCAGAAAACAUUCCUUCUUCAAAAGCUGUAGAAAGGCAGCCACUGUCCCGGGGCAGGACAUGGUCCUGGCAAGUGCCAUCUGAAAGACCCACAUUUCUGUGCUGGUUGCUCUGCUGGGAAAGUCCCUCCGGCCUCUAAAUCCAGGGGGAUCUGAGGGGCUGUCUCCACUCCUGGCCCAGGGGAACCACACUGAAACGAACCUGUCCUCUAAGGAAGGGAGACUUGGGUGGUCCUUAACUUGCCAGGGAGGGGGCUGGCCUUCCUCCCUUGUCCCACAUACAAUGAGCUGUGACCGUGCACCAGUUCUUAAUUCAAGGAGGAAGGUGAAGUUCUGUGUCUCAUUUAUAUGAGCACAGGAGUUGAACCACACCACAACUCCCAGGCUGUAACAGAAACAGGAUUUUAGUAUAAUAUUCAAAUCUGACACUUACUAUUAAAUAAUAUUGCUCUCCCCAAUAGGCAAAUAGACACUGGGGUAGAGAUGUCAGGGAGCUGGAGGGGGGUCGUCCCCUCCCCUUUGGGAUUUAGGCAAAACCAGGAAAGAGCUUACAAUGUCCUCCUUCACAUCCGGGUGGGAAGAGCUGGCCUGGUGCACCACGAGGGUCCCAGCCAUGUCCCUGCGCCUGAAGAGGCUGAGCUUGUGGUGGCAUCUAGAGUGUGAUGGCUCCUUGCCAAGGGCAUGGCAGCUGAAUAGAAGAAACAGGCUAUUUUGGGGUCCCUCCCUGAGAUGCAUGGCCCACCUCCCUGCCCCCACUGCACUCUGUGCUUCAAACCUGGUGCUGAGUGCUCAGUGCAUUCACAGCACCCCAUUCGUCUGACAUUGAGGUACCGUAAAGCAUCACCCAUACCAGAGGGGGCAACUGAGUCCCAGUAAGGAGAAGGGAGUGGCCCGUCACAGGACUGCUCAGCAGGGGAGCUGGGAUCCAGGCACAGACUGAGCCCAAAGCUUUAUGAGCCCCUGGAUUCAGUCCCUGCGGUCCCGACACUCACUCAGCCCCAAUCUUGAGGAUGGCCGGUUCUUCUUGGUCCUGAAGAAGCCUCGCAUUUUGCUCACCUUCAUGUUUGGGGGCUCCAGCUGGCAGGACAGGCUGUAGCUACAGGACAGAGUGGACCUGUGAGCUACCAGGAGCCACACCUCAGGUGUCCCUCCCAGAGCCAGUCAGCAGCUGGAGUCUUGGUUCGCCAGGGGUCACCAAGCAACAAGGUCUGGGGCUGAUCAGGGAGACGUGGGCACUUGGUCCGGAGCUGGCCCUCAGAGAGAGUCUGCCCUGCACUCACCCAGCUCCUGAGCACUCACCUCUCUUCCUCAUGGAGGGGCUCCAUGGCCUGGAACCAGGCCCCAAAGUGCUCCUCGGGCUGCAGGUGGCAUUCAUUGGCAGCCUCCUGGAGCAGCUGGAUCCUUUUAAUGACCUGGAAUUUCUGGGAGGAAGGACAGGAUGCAGACAGGGCCUGGGGGGAACCCAGCCAGGAACUUGUGGGUAGUGAGGAGCUGCUCUGGGGUCUUUGCUCAUUGGGAACCCUCCUUCCCUCCCACUCCAUUCAGGACUUGCCUGUUCUCACAGUAGGGUUGAAAUAGUUCCUCAUCCAGGAAGGUGUCCUCGAUGUCAGCCCCUCCUCCCACCCACCAAUGUGAUGGGAUCCCCAGCUGCCUGUAUCUAACUCUCGCAAUAAAGAUAAGACCCAAGGGAUGAGGCCAGAGAAAGUCUUGCAGGGGAGGUCUCUGAUUUCCACAGCCCCACCCUCCCCACAUCGAGGGCACGGCUGCUCACCUCACUCCAUUUCUGGAAGUUCACCAUAUUUCCCUCGAAGGCAGACAGCCAAUGUCCAUCAGAAACAGCCCCCUUGGCCCAUGACUAGCCCCCAGCCCACCCCUUCCCAAGUUGCAGGACUGCCAGGACCCAGCAGAGGGCAGACACUGCCUCAAGGAGAGCCUGAACCUGGGCCAGGCUCUGGGCUCCAGCGCAGGGGGGGCAGGGUCACUGAGGCCACAGACUCUGUAGCUCCAACCUCUCUGAUGACAGACAGGGAGACUGAGCCCUCAGAAAGGAAGGGACAGCUGGACCACGGAUGUGCUUCCUGACUUGCAGGGGCUGACUUCACUCCCCCAGGGGCAGGGCUUGAGGGAGAGGCUGAGUCCAGCUCUGACACCACCUCCCGCAGCUCUGUAGUGAGGCAGCUCUGAGCUCCCCCAGCCCAGGGAGCCUGGAGGGGGGCUUAUGCAGAGCCUUGGGUCUCACAUUGCUAAGAUGUGCCUGAGGCCCCAGCUCCAGGGGCUGCCAGGAGGUUCUCAGGAGAGGAGCUUUGCCAAGUGCUGAGAGCUCAGGGCCCAGUGCAGGGCUCUCGCCUCCCAAACCUCUGGAUCCUCUUCCCUGUUCCCCUCUCCAUGCUCACACUCCUUCAGAUAAUCCUCCAUCUCAGUGUCCAGCAGCUGCAGGUAAUCGAGGAGUGAGCCCAGGAAGGGGACGACACCCUGAGCCAUCAGGGUGGGAAUGGUGAUGAGUCCCGGCUUUCAUGUGCCCCCAUGGGACCCUCCCCCCAAAACCCUCACCCCAGCCUCCUGCCCACCCCGGACUCCCACAUAGAGCAGCCCAGGACCCUCAGCAGUCUCCCCCAGGAGCCCCCUCCAGGAACACCAAUCUCCCCUGUCACCUCCCAGGCUUGGCUUUAUGCAGAUCCCAGGGAAUGUGGUCCCUGCUCCUCCCCACCCCAAGUCCCUCCUGGGCCAGCCCUGCCAGGCCUCCUCCUGCUCACUUCUAAUGCAGCCGGUUCAGGCUCUGCAUGGCCAGGAGCUGGGCUGGAGGAGGAGGGACCCCUCUCUUGGUGGAGGCCUCCAGCUGUGAGGGUGGAGCACCCUCUCCUCGAACACAUGGACCCCUCCUCCCCACCACAGGCACCCUCACCUGCCACUGCUGCCUCUCCUGGGCUAUCCAGGGAUCCAUCUCCAGGGUCUCCCACAGAGAGGUCGCUUCCUGCAGCGUCAAGGACAAGGUCAGGGAGGCCAUGCUCCCUUCCGCAUGUGUCCCAGGCCCUUGAUCUUGGACCCUGGACAUCUCGUGUGUGUGGCUGCUCCGUUUUCCAGAUGCUCUGAUUCUCGAUCAGUCCCAGCUCCAACACUUGCUCCUCUGUGGCCUUGGGCCUGCCCAGGCCCCUCAGCCUCUCUCCUCAUCUGGAAAGGGUGAGGAGAACUCCACCUGCCUCCCAGGGCCUCCUGAGGACUCAGUGUCAUCUGACUGUCAUCACUGCUCUCCCCUCACCCCUCGAGGAGGAGGCGGCACACAGCUCCUGCACAUUCCUCUCCUCCCUUGAACCUCAUCCCCCGUUUGUGGGGCUUGAACCACAGAUCACCUCCCUCCACGUCCCACAUGGGGAGACCGAGGCUCACAGAGGGGCUUGACUUGCUCAGAGGCCCACAGAGGAGAGACCCCUUCCCCUCCCAGCCAGAGGCCCUGUCCAUCUGCCUUCACCCCACCUACAGACACACCUCUGAACAUGGUCAUGUCCUCUGGACUCUCAGGGUGUGAGCAGACCCUCAGCCAGGCUGAGCCAUGGAUGACAAGGGGCAGGGUGUCUCAGAGGGCCUGUCCAAGUGGCAUCUACCUGUCCCAGCCCCCUGGGAUUCUCUGACCCCAGGCUAUACCUGAGGCGAUGCCAAAGGCCUCAGCUCCCUAGGAUCCCUCAGGACGUUCCCCUGAACACAACUCUCUUUUCAUCCACUCAGGAAGGUGACCCCUAGUGCCACAUCUGAGUGACAGUUACGGGGUGACCAGGGCACUGGUUGAUGGUGACAUUUGCUUCCUUUUUGUUCUUGGAAACUUCUAACAUCCAGUCAGGAAGGUCCACGAAGAAUCUAUUGGAUCCCCUGAUACUCUCAUUGCCAUCUGGGGCAUGUGCCCUGCCAACAAGGCAGCAGGACCUGACGUUCAGGGACACUGAUUCCUGAAGCAGAAGCCCCCGGCCUAAGUUUCCAGAGAGACUCAGAGUCCGCCAGCCAGGUGAGUCUCUGUCACCAGGGUUUGCUGUCUCCCAGGUGGUGCCAGCUUACUGAGGGGGCAAUGCCAGCACUAUGGGGGGUGUCUGGUCUUCCAAGGUGAUGCUCACAUGAAGAGAGGCCUACCCACCUGGAAACGUGUCCCCAUGUCUUUUUGAGCCGAUGGAUCGUGCAGCUCUGCAGAGCAGAGAGGAUGGCAUGCAGUGAAGCAAAGUUCCUCAGGCCUUGGCACUCCUGGGGCAGGGAAGAGAGUGAGCUGGUGAGGAGAGCUGGAGCCCUGCUGCCUCUGGCUUCUGUUCCCUCAUGGACAUCUCCUGUCUUGGAUGAGACGCAUGCUGAGGAACCCAGUGAGGGCACCCCUGGGACCUGAUGAGUAGCAUUCCCAGGUUGGAGAAUUUGAGCUCAACCCAAGGAGGGAGCCCAGGAAGAAGUGAGCUUCCCACGCUGGGAACAGGAGUCAAGGUCAGUGAGGCCCCGGCAGGAGGGGCCUGGGGACUGUGCAAGGGCUCAGAGCACAGACUUCAAUCCUGAGAGCUGAGGAAGGAGAAGGGGCAGUUUCCAUGACUCCAGAGAGGGGCUCCCUGGGCCGCCCAGAAGGUACCUUGGACACCUGGAUCCAGAGCUCCACCACCCUGGCCCUGUCCUGGGCUGUCAUGCUCAGGUCCCCCAGGCAGGUGGUGACAACACAGUUGACCACUGUGAUAAACUGGGUGAUGGUGGCACGGAUGGUGCAUGCCAGGUGCUCAUUGCCCCUGCUGUCCCAUGGGGACCAGACGGAGUCCAGACAGUGGGGGGGAUCACUUUCUUGAACAGCUCCUGGGGAGGAAGAGAGUGUCACCCAGCCCUGUCACAUGCCUGCUCCAUGUCCACAGUCCACAGUCCCAGGCAGAGUCAGUGGUCAGAGCUGGAGCUCAGGAAGCUGAGGAUGUGGCCUGGGGCUUGUGGGGGUCCCUGGGUUUUGUCUGUGCCCACUGAGGGCACCCAGCACAGGAUGACCCAGGACCAAUAGUGCGGGGAAGGAAAGUGGCAUUCGCUCCCAGCCCAGUCUCACUACUCCAGGCACCAGAACCCCGCUGAUACUUGACGAACGCAAGGGGCAUCGUCUACCUUUUCUGAUCACCCUGGGGCCCGACUCCUCAUUCAGAUGUGCAGUCCUCCCAAGGAGUAACAAUCACAAUCUUUGUAUGUUUGUCUCCCAGGUAGUCAUUACAUAUGAGGUCCCUAAUAAUUGCUAAGGCUGUUGAUGCCUCCUGUGCAAAUGGAUGACCCACCCAAGGACCUGACAGCCCUUCAGUGACCUCCCCUUCCCCCGCCAAAGGGCCAGACUCUGCCCACCUUCCUCUCUGUUCCGCCUCAUUCGUCUGCACAGCCGCUAUGCCUGGCAGAUGCUCUUUUGUCCAUGUCUAGUGUCCACAUGCGGACAGCACAGGCUUGGGAGUUAAGAGGUUGCCCAGGGCACAUGUGUGUAAGUGGGAAAGCUGGGAUUGAAUGUAGGACAUGGGAUUCUGGAUCAGGAAACAGCAGGUCUUGGGCCUCUGAUGGCACAGGGAAGGCCCGCCCCACCUGCCCUGAGAGCCCUGCUGCUCACCGCAUCCAUCAGUGUAAAUUGCUCUGCAAUCAGCUGGGGACGGAACUCCAGGAAGUCAGGCUUCUCCUCCCACAGCAGGCUCUUGGUGGUCACAGCCCGGGGGCAGGUGGGCUCUUGGGCUGGAUGGGCUCUGAUGUAAUCUCUCCAGAUGGAGGAAGUGUUCUCCCUGGAGACAAGGGUCCAGCGGGCUCCAGCUGGAUCUGGCACUGGGGCUGGAGCUGUUGUUGGCAUGGCUCUGGCCCUGGGGGGACUGAUGGAGGUGACACUUGCUCCAGCUCUAGCACAGGUGGUAGAACUAGAAUUGGAGUUGGCCCAGGCCAUGGAGCUGGCCCUUGCUCUGGCUCUGGAGCUGGUGGGAGCUCUGGAGAUGGUCCUGGAGCAGCAUAAAGAAAAAGUAUCAUCAAGUAGAUGACCUCCCCUGAGUCUUUCCAAAGACAGGAAGGACCCCAAUGCCUUAAGGGAACCCAGCCCGUGAACCCCCUGCAAAUCGUCUUCCCACACUGCAGGGCCCUCACCUUCCAGCUCUGCCUCCACGGGCUCUGGAGGACUCCAGCUGGACUGGGAGGAGGGAGGCGUGGCCCUCCUGCUCUGAGGUAGGCGAGCUCACGUGCACACGGGCCAGCUUCAUCUGCGAAGAGACGGCAAUGGGGGAAGGCAUUGGGCAACAGAGUCAGAGGCCUGGUCUUUCCCUCCACACUGCCCACUGAAGGCGCCCUUAUUUGGUCUGGGCCCCUGUGCCCGCCCAUUCCCAUCCAGAGGAGAGCCCCGGCCCAGUCCCGCCCCUGUGUGGCUGUCCUGGUGGUGGCAGGACUGCUCAACCAGCAAGUUGAACACAGAGUCAGUGUGAGUCUGUUCUUCCCACUGACACUCUCUUCCUGAAGGGCUUGGACAAAGCCCACCCCAGCCCUCCAUGCAUUUAUGCAACUGGACUGAGGACUGAGGCAGACGUGUGACCAUGUUGCUCACACACCUCCUGUUCUGGGCCUGCUGGGGGUGGUCCGAAGAAGUGGAUGUGGAGAAGGGGAGGCAGAUCAAGAUAGGACUAUGGUGGGGAUGGGUCUCUAGGGGACAGCCCAGCCCAGCCUCCACUCUGGUUCCCAGGGGUCCUGGGACCCAUCUACAGGUCUUUGAAUCCUGACCUCCUGGAAUGGAAGCCAUCAGACCUCAGCCUUCCAGUGAGAAUCAAAACAUGUGUGAGAUGCAGGGUUUUGCCAGCCUGGCCCCAGCCACAGUCCCCCAUUUCCCCCAACCCUGUUCUGUAGAGACAGGGCGCCCUCCUUCUGGACCCAGAGGCCACUCAUUUUAUUCCGGCAUCCUGUGGUCUGCCCUCCUGGUUUUGAUAAUGGAAGAUGCCUCCAGAUGUAAAGGAGGUGACGAGAGCACCAUUUGGGAUGUGCGAUGGAUGACAGGACUUGCGAAUGAUGUCUAAUGUGACUAUUUGACUCUCAGACUACAACUGAGACGCAGGGAUUGUAUCUGUUGGACACCUGGAUUCACUGAGUUAUGCUAAGUGUCUCCAAAAAUCCUGCACAUAGUAGGUGCUUCACAUACAUGGUUGAAUGAAUGAAGUCCAGCCAGAAGCAUCCCAGAUGUCGGAGUGGGCCUGGGGCCCCUCUGCUCCCCAGACAUCCCUAAUUGGCCCCACCAAGCACAAGGACCAGGACCAUCUCUCUGGAAUCUCAAACUCCUUGACAGGGUGCUGUCCGUGUGCUUUGCCAAACUCAGAAAGACCACAUCCCAGAGACGGGUGAGACAGACUACUUUCCAUGAGGAAGAACCAAUAAUAACCAUGAACAACCACAGCUCACCCCACAGCCACAUCUGCAGAGCCAGGCACCAGGUCAGCACCCGCCAUGGCUGAUCCCAUUAGUCCCUCCAAGAACCCCAUGACGUUUAUCCUCUCCCACCCCACUUUUCAGAGGAGCAAAGUGAGGCUCAGGGAGAUGCAGUGACAUUACAAGAAUUACAGCUGGCAGUGGGCAGUCACCCAGUAAACAGCUGGUCCAGGACCUGGUGGGAUGUGUUGAAGGCCGAGUAGUUGAACACAAAGGUGGUGACAUUUGAGAUGUUUCUACCUAGGAAAGCUGGUGCCAUGGACUUUGUCAGUCUCCAUCAGGUCUGCUGGAGGGACCGCCACCUGCAGGCCUCAUUUAAAUUCACAAAGGGGUCAUCUUCACUCUGGGUGGAAGGAGGAGGGACACACAAAAAAUCAGUGGCAUCACCGUGAACCACUAGGAGGAUGGAGGUUACUUUCUUUCUGCCUAUGUAGCUGGUGGGGAGGAGGGGAGGUCGUGAUUCCUUUGGGAGUGGGACUGUGGGACACUCUAGUGAGAAAACACUGGGAGCAUCUCAGGGGAGUCUCAGAUUUGGGUCUGGAUUCUGGUACUGCCUCGGUCAUCUCAGGGUCCUGGGUGUGAAGACCCCUCUGCACUAAGCCCGGCCCGGGUCAUUGUUGGUGGCCUGGAGCACCCGCCCCCUGUCCAGGGAGACGGCAUAGUCGAAACCAUUCACUAACUAUGUGACCAUCUUGUGGGUGCAGCUCUGCAAACACAGUGCCUGGGAGAAAGACCAGGAGGGAUCAGGGGCCUGCCUGGACCUCACCAGGGGGAACCCGCACCACAGAUCAGGCUCAGAGGGGCACCUGCAUAGACCUCCAGCCAGGGCUGGAAUGUGAUGACACCUGGUGGGCUUGGGAUUCACAUAGGGAUAAAGGAGCUCGGUCCCCAGCACUCAACUUCCUACCCUGCCAGCCAAGAUGUGGGGUAUGAAGAUGACCCAUUGCCAGACUUCCAACAUCUCACUACCUGCUCCUACCCGGGAUGUGUCCCUCCUCAUCCCCACCUUUCCUAAGUGCACCUCCCAAACACACACACACACCUUGAGCAUCAAGGGGUGUGGGGCUGGCCAGGUGGGAGCACAGUUGUGACCUGACCUGGAGCGGCCUGCCCUGGGUUGCCCUGUGUUGCCUGAGGGUUCCUCCUGCCAAAAGGCCAGAGGUGUUAGAGGUGAGAGUUGAAUCAAUGUCUACAAAGGCUCUCGUCAGAUUUCUAGAAGCCAGAGCUUCGGAAAGUUGGGACACAACAUGCAAACAUCUUGUUCUCUUGAGUGCCUCCAUUCAAGUGAGCUGGAUGUGAGGCUGUGUCUAGAAUGUGGGUGCCUGGUAACCAAAGUUCUAAGUUCUGUUGGGGUCUGUCACCAAAGAAGUGAGGCCACUUCUCAAGGUUCCAUUAUCUGGGCCCCUUCCUUCAAUCAGACCCACCCAAAGCCUCCUCUGGGCUGUUGACUGCUCAUCGCCCUUGCCCAUGUCAUCUCCAUAAUUGUACACAAAUAUCCAUCACUGCCCUCCCCACAGCGCUCUGGGAAUGGGACCAGGGCCCUAGCUUUGAGGAGACACAGCUGAGUUCAGACCUCUUUUUUCCUACCAAUUCUGAGUCCUGGAAAAGCCAUUUGUGCCUCUCAUGGCCUCCCCAGUCUCCCAACCUGCACAGUGGAGAUGGUGCUAAAACCAAUUUCCUAGGCACAUCAUCAGGUGUGUAUGUGACAAUACCUAUAACUUCUGUGGGUUAGAGUCACAUGUGUCUGAUACAGAAACUUAGAGAUGGAAGAUGGAAGAUUGGGACAGUCACUGCCCCCCUGGGCCUCAUUUUCAGGUCUGCACUUUUCAGGGGUUGAAAUUAGAAGAAAUUCAUAUAUUGUGAUCCACUGGCAAAAGUUUCCCAUGGUCUCCUGUUUUACUUAGAAUCAGACCCAAGUGCCUCAUGUCGGCCUGUGUGUGGGGCAGCCUCCACAAUGGCUCCCAGUGCUCCCUGCCUCCUGGAGUGCACGUCCUUAUGUGACAGCUAAGUGGUUAGUAACUGGCUUCUGAUCAACAGAAUGCCCCAAGGUGAUGGGAUGUCACUUCCAAGUUUUAAUUACGAAGAGCCUGUCACUUCCUUCUUACAGGCAUUCUUGGGUUCCCUCCUCCUCUCCUGUUUGCAGCUCUCUCUCUGUCUUAUCUCUGGAACUGAGAGAGCAAGCACCGAUGCUUUCAGUUGCCCUGUGUAGAGGCUCCAUAGGAGAGAACUGAGGGGGUGCCCAGCCAACAGACAGGCAGGAACUCAGACUCUCAGUCCAGAUGAAUCCUGACAACACCCAUGUCAGCGAUCUUGGGUGGGAGUCCUCCCCCAGUUGAGCCCUGUUGAGACUGCAGCCCCUGCUUCAUAGAGAAUUUGAAGCUGAGGCACCCAGCUAAGCUCUGCCUGAUGCCUGGCCCACAGAAAGUGCAGGAUGUUAACUGUUUGUUCCUUAUGGGUGGAAGGUUUUGGAGCAAUGUUGUCAUAGAGGAACAGAAACUAACACAGUCCACCAUGUCCCACGAUCUGGCCCUCUCACCCUCCUCUCUCUUCUCAGGCUCCCUCCAGCCACACCUGCCACCUUUCUGACCUCCUCUGGUCAAACUCACUUCUUCCUGUGAAUCUCUGCACCAGGGGUACCUUCUCCCUGACAUGCUAACUGUUCCCAGAUAUAGGCAAGGGUGGCUUACACUUGUCAUUCUGGCUACAGCAAAUAAUCACCUCAGUGAGGCCUUUCAGAACCUCCCAGCACAGUCUCACAUCCAGAGGUGCAUGACAUUAUUUCUUUUGUCUUGAUCACAUUUAGAUAAAGUUGAGUCCAUGAGGAAGGGCUGUCUGCUUUGUCUGAAGCAGAUGCAAAUCCUGGUUACACCAGGCACCCAGGUUGAAACACCACCAGAUCCUGAAUUCAGUUACUGCUGAGAUCCUCCCAGCAAUUUGGUAAUUCAGUGGUUCUCCUGAGGUCACCUUUCCCCUGAGACCCAACUCCCAGCCAGCCCUUGGCUAAUUAGAUGAACAAUGAGAUUUUCUCAGAGUCCUCCCAGCCAGGACAAGAAAUGUUUUGAAAUGUUCUCUGUAUUAACUUUUAGGAAGUGGGGAUGCUGGCAGAAGUAAUUUGGGUGUGUAUGUACAAUAGUUUCUCUAUAGGUAUUAUUCAGACAAAAUAGUGUGGCUAUGGGAUAUAUCAAGAAAAUGGAUAAAUUGAUCCAAUUUUUUCAUGAUGUGAAGUCUUUAGAGAUUAAAUAUCAUGGUUAAGAGCAUAGAAUAUGAGCCGACAUCUUAUGUUCAAACUCCAACUCAAUCGCUUACUGGUUAUUUGUAUUGAUCAAGUUACUUACCUUGUUGGUACCUCAGUUUCUUCAUCUGUCAGUUGACAGUAAUGAUAAGCGUACCUACUUUGUAAGGCCAUGGGGAGUACUAAAGGAGUUAAUGUUUGAAAAAUGCCUGUAACACCUAGCAUUUACAGCACUGUAUCUAUAUAUUAUGAAUAAAAUUUAAAAAUUGUUUUGACACUGUAAGUUCCAGAAGGUAGACUAGUAGUGCCUGGGUGUAUGUAGGAAGCG